rnacentral:sRNA from 1 species
GCUGGGUGCAGUGGCGCAUGCCUGUAAUCCCAGCGGCUUGGGAGGCUGAGGCAGGAGGAUCACAAGUUCUAGGCCAGCAUCAGCAACUUAGUGAGGCCCUAAGCAGCUUAGCAAGACCCUGUCUCAA